GGAUGAACGCUAGCUACAGGCUUAACACAUGCAAGUCGAGGGGCAGCAUUUUAGUUUGCUUGCAAACUGAAGAUGGCGACCGGCGCACGGGUGAGUAACACGUAUCCAACCUGCCGAUAACUCCGGAAUAGCCUUUCGAAAGAAAGAUUAAUACCGGAUAGUAUACGAAUAUCGCAUGGUAUUUUUAUUAAAGAAUUUCGGUUAUCGAUGGGGAUGCGUUCCAUUAGUUUGUUGGCGGGGUAACGGCCCACCAAGACUACGAUGGAUAGGGGUUCUGAGAGGAAGGUCCCCCACAUUGGAACUGAGACACGGUCCAAACUCCUACGGGAGGCAGCAGUGAGGAAUAUUGGUCAAUGGGCGAGAGCCUGAACCAGCCAAGUAGCGUGAAGGAUGAAGGCUCUAUGGGUCGUAAACUUCUUUUAUAUGGGAAUAAAGUUUUCCACGUGUGGAAUUUUGUAUGUACCAUAUGAAUAAGGAUCGGCUAACUCCGUGCCAGCAGCCGCGGUAAUACGGAGGAUCCGAGCGUUAUCCGGAUUUAUUGGGUUUAAAGGGAGCGUAGGUGGAUUGUUAAGUCAGUUGUGAAAGUUUGCGGCUCAACCGUAAAAUUGCAGUUGAAACUGGCAGUCUUGAGUACAGUAGAGGUGGGCGGAAUUCGUGGUGUAGCGGUGAAAUGCUUAGAUAUCACGAAGAACUCCGAUUGCGAAGGCAGCUCACUAGACUGUCACUGACACUGAUGCUCGAAAGUGUGGGUAUCAAACAGGAUUAGAUACCCUGGUAGUCCACACAGUAAACGAUGAAUACUCGCUGUUUGCGAUAUACAGUAAGCGGCCAAGCGAAGGCAUUAAGUAUUCCACCUGGGGAGUACGCCGGCAACGGUGAAACUCAAAGGAAUUGACGGGGGCCCGCACAAGCGGAGGAACAUGUGGUUUAAUUCGAUGAUACGCGAGGAACCUUACCCGGGCUUAAAUUGCAACAGAAUAUAUUGGAAACAGUAUAGCCGUAAGGCUGUUGUGAAGGUACUGCAUGGUUGUCGUCAGCUCGUGCCGUGAGGUGUCGGCUUAAGUGCCAUAACGAGCGCAACCCUUAUCUUUAGUUACUAACAGGUGAUGCUGAGGACUCUAGAGAGACUGCCGUCGUAAGAUGUGAGGAAGGUGGGGAUGACGUCAAAUCAGCACGGCCCUUACGUCCGGGGCUACACACGUGUUACAAUGGGGGGUACAGAAGGCGGCUACCUGGUGACAGGAUGCUAAUCCCAAAAACCUCUCUCAGUUCGGAUCGAAGUCUGCAACCCGACUUCGUGAAGCUGGAUUCGCUAGUAACCGCGCAUCAGCCAUGGCGCGGUGAAUACGUUCCCGGGCCUUGUACACACCGCCCGUCAAGCCAUGAAAGCCGGGGGUACCUGAAGUACGUAACCGCAAGGAGCGUCCUAGGGUAAAACUGGU
rnacentral:rRNA from 1 species